CCUACGGGAGGCAGCAGUGAGGAAUAUUGGUCAAUGGACGAGAGUCUGAACCAGCCAAGUAGCGUGAAGGAUGACUGCCCUAUGGGUUGUAAACUUCUUUUAUAUGGGAAUAAAAUGUUCCACGUGUGGGAUUUUGUAUGUACCAUAUGAAUAAGCAUCGGCUAACUCCGUGCCAGCAGCCGCGGUAAUACGGAGGAUCCGAGCGUUAUCCGGAUUUAUUGGGUUUAAAGGGAGCGUAGGUGGAUUGUUAAGUCAGUUGUGAAAGUUUGAGGCUCAACCGUAAAAUUGCAGUUGAAACUGGCAGUCUUGAGUACAGUAGAGGUAGGCGGAAUUCGUGGUGUAGCGGUGAAAUGCUUAGAUAUCACGAAGAACUCCGAUUGCGAAGGCAGCUUACUGGACUGCAACUGACACUGAGGCGCGAAAGUGUGGGUAUCAAACAGGAUUAGAUACCCCAGUAGUC
rnacentral:rRNA from 1 species